CAUCUUGCUGGUGACAGCACUGGUCCU
rnacentral:piRNA from 1 species